UACGAAGGGGGGCUAGCGUUUGUUCGGAAUUACUGGGCGUAAAGCGCGCGUAGGCGGCUUUUGUAAGUUAGAGGUGAAAGCCCGGAGCUCAACUCCGGAAUUGCCUUUAAGACUGCAUCGCUAGAAUCAUGGAGAGGUGAGUGGAAUUCCGAGUGUAGAGGUGAAAUUCGUAGAUAUCAGGAGGAACACCGGUGGGCGAAGGCGGCAUCCCUGGACCGGCAUUGA
rnacentral:rRNA from 1 species